AAAUAAAUGUCUUAGCUAUCCUGCUGUCACAGCGUGGCCUUACUGCUCCCUCAUAUAUGGUGCCUUUCUCCUGCCGCCUUUCAUUCUCUUUGCUUUCUUCGUCUUCCAGAUGCUCACACACCCAUUCUCCUACCUGGGAAAUCACAGCCUUAUUAACAGCUCAGCUAUCCUGAGUCAUGUUUCCUCAUGAAAUCGAACUCAACUGCUGCAACCUCAAAAUAGCAAUUUAAAUCAGCUUCAGCAUAACCUGUUUUUUCCCCCUUGUUUCCUGUGUUAGUAUUAUGUCACCAACUUUGUGGGGAUGAGAUAGGUCAUAUACUCUUCUAGAGCAUAUCAUAAUGACCAAACAUCUUUAGCUAUAACCCACCUAGAUCCCAAUACUUACCCCCAAGGGAAUAUAUUGACUUUUAUUCCCCGUUAUGAAAAACAAACCCCUUCAAACCCAAAGAAUGGACUCAGAGACCCAGAGAACAGCAAAAGUGAGACUUUUAAUGAUGGUCUUACAAUAUUGGGUGCCUGGCAGCAGACACACCCAGCACAGUUUCAACAAGCAGUUUAUCCUCUAGUGCACAGGUCCCUCCCCUGGUUCCUCAUAGGCUGAGUACUAUGGGGUCACACUCUUCCUGGAUGUCGCCUAUUGGUUGUUGGGCAGGGGCUUUAGGUGUUUUGUUUAGGGUUGUCCUGCUGCGUUUUGUUGCAGCCCACAAUGCAUUGCAAUCCUAGUUAGCUCAGGGGCUCUUCAAGUGUUUGACUUAUGACCUAAGUAGCUGGGCAGGCUAAUAAGAACAGACAAAGCAAGUGAUUUCAGCA